AGGACGAACGCUGGCGGCGUGCUUAACACAUGCAAGUCAAGGGGGACCCGCAAGGGUAACCGGCGAACGGGUGCGUAACACGUGAGCAACCUACCGAGAUCUGGGGGAUAGCCGGCCCAACGGCCGGGUAAUACCGCAUACGCUCUUUCCACGGCAUUGUGGAUUGAGGAAACCUCCGGGGGAUUUCGAGGGGCUCGCGGCCUAUCAGCUAGUUGGCGAGGUCACGGCUCACCAAGGCGACGACGGGUAGCUGGUCUGAGAGGAUGGCCAGCCACAUUGGGACUGAGAAACGGCCCAGAC
rnacentral:rRNA from 1 species